rnacentral:rRNA from 1 species
UACAGAGGGGGCAAGCGUUGUUCGGAAUUACUGGGCGUAAAGGGCGCGUAGGCGGCCUUCUAAGUCGAACGUGAAAUCCCCGGGCUCAACCCGGGAACUGCGUCCGAUACUGGCAGGCUUGAAUCCGGGAGAGGGAUGCGGAAUUCCAGGUGUAGCGGUGAAAUGCGUAGAUAUCUGGAGGAACACCGGUGGCGAAGGCGGCAUCCUGGACCGGCAUUGACGCUGAGGCGCGAAAGCUAGGGGAGCAAACGGG